ACGCUAGCUACAGGCUUAACACAUGCAAGUCGAGGGGAAACGGCAUUAAGUGCUUGCACUUUUUGGUCGUCGACCGGCGCACGGGUGAGUAACGCGUAUCCAACCUUCCCAUGACUAAGGGAUAACCUGCCGAAAGGCAGACUAAUACCUUAUGGUCUUCACUGACGGCAUCAGAUGUGAAGUAAGGAUUUAUCGGUUAUGGAUGGGGAUGCGUCUGAUUAGCUUGUUGGCGGGGUAACGGCCCACCAAGGCAACGAUCAGUAGGGGUUCUGAGAGGAAGGUCCCCCACAUUGGAACUGAGACACGGUCCAAACUCCUACGGGAGGCAGCAGUGAGGAAUAUUGGUCAAUGGGCGAGAGCCUGAACCAGCCAAGUAGCGUGCAGGAUGACGGCCCUAUGGGUUGUAAACUGCUUUUGUAUGGGGAUAAAGUCAGUCACGUGUGAUUGUUUGCAGGUACCAUACGAAUAAGGACCGGCUAAUUCCGUGCCAGCAGCCGCGGUAAUACGGAAGGUCCGGGCGUUAUCCGGAUUUAUUGGGUUUAAAGGGAGCGUAGGCUGGAGAUUAAGUGUGUUGUGAAAUGUAGACGCUCAACGUCUGACUUGCAGCGCAUACUGGUUUCCUUGAGUACGCACAACGUUGGCGGAAUUCGUCGUGUAGCGGUGAAAUGCUUAGAUAUGACGAAGAACUCCGAUUGCGAAGGCAGCUGACGGGAGCGCAACUGACGCUGAAGCUCGAAGGUGCGGGUAUCGAACAGGAUUAGAUACCCUGGUAGUCCGCACAGUAAACGAUGGAUGCCCGCUGUUGGUACUUGGUAUCAGCGGCUAAGCGAAAGCAUUAAGCAUCCCACCUGGGGAGUACGCCGGCAACGGUGAAACUCAAAGGAAUUGACGGGGGCCCGCACAAGCGGAGGAACAUGUGGUUUAA
rnacentral:rRNA from 1 species